UUUUGUGGAUUAGGGCGAGAGGGUUUUUGGGCGAGAGCGAUGAGGGGCGACGAGAUCUGGAAGCGAUCAGUGUGGGGCAGCGCGCUGGCGCUCGCCAAGAUGCAGUGGCCAUACCUCGCCGGAUUCGCGGUCACAUUUGGCAUCGUCCUCAACAUGUCGCUCAAUCUCACGGAGGAACAAGCGAAGAAAUCACCCUUCGUCCAGCUCCAUCGGAAAAAAGAUCAAGAGCACCAUCACUGACGAGGAAUCGCGUGAAUAAGAACACUCUUUCCUUUCUUUUUUGCUGUGGAUUGGAUGGAUCUUCUCCCAAAAACAAGACUUUGAUAAGAAUUUUUUGCUACCUCUAUGCUGAUAGAGCCUGGCAGUGGACAAUGUGGCUCUUUAGUCGGCUUCUUCCCGCAAUGUUGGAGAGCAAAUUCGUCA